rnacentral:rRNA from 1 species
AAACCAACCGGGAUUGCCUUAGUAACGGCGAGUGAAGCGGCAAAAAGCUCAAAUUUGAAAUCUGGUACCUUCGGUGCCCGAGUUGUAAUUUGGAGAGGGCAACUUUGGGGCCGUUCCUUGUCUAUGUUCCUUGGAACAGGACGUCAUAGAGGGUGAGAAUCCCGUGUGGCGAGGAGUGCGGUUCUUUGUAAAGUGCCUUCGAAGAGUCGAGUUGUUUGGGAAUGCAGCUCUAAGUGGGUGGUAAAUUCCAUCUAAAGCUAAAUAUUGGCGAGAGACCGAUAGCGAACAAGUACAGUGAUGGAAAGAUGAAAAGAACUUUGAAAAGAGAGUGAAAAAGUACGUGAAAUUGUUGAAAGGGAAGGGCAUUUGAUCAGACAUGGUGUUUGUGCCCUCUGCUCCUUGUGGGUAGGGGAAUCUCGCAUUUCACUGGGCCAGCAUCAGUUUUGGUGGCAGGAUAAAUCCAUAGGAAUGUAGCUUGCCUCGGUAAGUAUUAUAGCCUGUGGGAAUACUGCC